AUUGAACGCUGGCGGCAGGCUUAACACAUGCAAGUCGAGCGAGCGGCGGACGGGUGAGUAAUGUCUGGGAAACUGCCGGAUGGAGGGGGUUAACUACUGGAACCGGUGCCUAAUACCGCAUACCAUCAGAUGUGCCCAGAUGGGUUUAGCUAGUAGGUGGGGUAAUGGCUCACCUAGGCGACGAUCCCUAGCUGGUCUGAGAGGAUGACCGGCCACACUGGAACUGAGACACGGCCCAGACUCCUACGGGAGGCAGCAGUGGGGAAUAUUGCACAAUGGGCGCAAGCCUGAUGCAGCCAUGCCGCGUGUGUGAAGAAGGCCUUCGGGUUGUAAAGCACUUUCAGCGGGGAGGCGUUACCCGCAGAAGAAGCACCGGCUAACUCCGUGCCAGCAGCCGCGGUAAUUC
rnacentral:rRNA from 1 species